ensembl:lncRNA PAQR9-AS1 PAQR9 antisense RNA 1
CCCGACGCGUAGCACCACAACGGUAGCAGCCACGGGUGGUGGAAGGGCACGUCGCCGCCGCUCAGGAAGAACAGACGGCAGAACUUGCUCAGGAACAGCAGCAGCGGGAUGAAGUGCGUCCAGAAGUUGAGCGUCUCGUUGGACUUCUAUUUGGAACUGAGUCCGACAGCUCAGGACUGGCUGCUCAAACUCCACAAUUUAAUGAAAAAUCUCAGAUGAUGACUCAGAAAACCUCUAAUGAUCUGAGGAAUAUAUUAAGGGAUUCCAGAGUCAAAGGCUGAUCAUGGAGGGCAUUGAUGAGGGAAGACUUCAGGUAGGAGGUGCAUUCUAGCAGGAACUGAAGAGAAUGAAGUCCAGUUGGUAGAAACGGAGGGGGUGGCUUGGAUAAAUCUUAUAUGUAAUUAAUCAGAAGUACCUGGCAGGUGGCUGGAGACCAGAAGAAAGGAACACUGGAAGAAUGAAAACGGUUGUGAUGCACUGCAGUGUGAAAAUAUGCCCUUGAGCCUUAAAGAAAGGGGCUU